GUGGAGGUUGUAGUAGAAAAAAGAAGAAUUUAGCUACACUGGGGUCUUGUCUUCCUCUGUUCACACCUGGAAAUCUGCUGUCUGUGGGAACCUGUGAGAUCUGGAAGAGCUUGAAAGAGCUCCUGGAUCCUUAUCAUUUUUGAUGUGUGCCCUCGCAGACUGGUGUGAAAAAUGUGGGCAGAUUUGGAAGAUUUUCCAUCCUCAAUCAGACUCUGACCAUGGGUUCAGGAUGGGUUUUCCAAAUGGCUUACUUGUUUUAUAACACCUAACAGGUGAGUAUAACAUGGUAGACCAUUGGGUGACCUCCCUGAGAGGCGACCAAACAGCUGGUCCCCUCCAGUUCCAUUGGGCAGUUCCACAGAGAGAGUUACUGAGCUUAGCUGGCUUGCAUUAGGUACUUGACAAUGUGCAUCUGGCCAAGGUGCCCACCAGUUGACCAGCAGCAUGAAGAAGAAAUGGUGUGAGUUCAUGCUCUGGGCCUGUAGGCCUCAUGCAUGUGCUUCAUGCAUUUGGGAAGAAGCAGCCCCACACCAUAAAACCUCCCUGAAAGCCAUUGAGGUACCUCUCUAAAAACCAUAAUAGACUGUGCUGAAAGCCUAACUUUGACUGAUGUUAGGUUUGGGACUCUACCCAGGUAAGAAUCCAGGCAGCAAGGAGACCGUAGAAGGCAGAUGACCCAGAGUAGGGCCAAACUGUUUACCAGCAAGUGUGUUUUCGAAAAUCUUCCUUAACUGGUCAUGGCAGCGGAAAAUACCCUGCUGUUAAACGCAUCUGCAAUCUGCUGCUCUCCCAGUCCACCUACAAAAAUUUUGACCUUUAAAGAAAUGAUGGAGAAGCUGGUGAUUUUUUCGAUGGCAUUGAAGCUCAGUCUAUUUUAGGCUCCAAGGCAAUUGCAGCCCUCUUUGCUCCCUAUUUCGCAUUACUUUUAAGUCUUGUUCUGGCCACUAUGAACCCUUCAGCACUUCUCCCUCUACAAUCACUCAAGUCAAGAUCUGUGAUCUGUGAUUUGCAGAUGACAUGCACAUUUCUUGGCUGACGGUUGCUGAAGCAGUUUGCAAACCUAAGGCAGUUAAAUGGGGAGGGGAUAGAAGAGCAGAUUACAACUAUAAUGCCACCCUAAAUUUCAAUUUUCAUGCAAAUGUAUAACUGAUUUCUCAUUAUUUUGAGUGAAGGGACAGUAGCGGUUGGUGUGAAUUACCAUAUUCAUAUUUUGAUGACCAAACACUUGGCUGAUUUCUAUUGUUUGUCACUCCUGUGAAACCACAGUACUUUAGAAACCCAUGUUGGGGGUAAGAUGUUAUUAACAGCACUCCCUCCCCCCAAAAAUAUCCAAACACAAAGACAAAAUCUUAGGAUCCUCUCAUUAUGAAAAUCUGUUACAGCGAUGCAUCAAAAAACACUCAGCUUCCUGAGUUUUAGAGCAAUAAUGGCUGUAUUUUGGACCAGGUUUCAUUUGAAUAUCUGCAAAAUAUGUAAAUUACCAAAUCUUUGAGAAAAGUUAUUUCAGUGUCAUUUACUGAAAUAUUCACUCAUUUAAAAAAGACCAUGUUAAUGAAACCUAGGCUUAUCUGAUUUUUAAGCAGACAUGAUAUGUGUGUAAAUGUAAUGUGAUCUGAAAGACACAUUAAUGAGAUUGCCAUCAGAAGGAUUACUGAGAUUCUGUGUUUAGACACCGAGAAAAGCCAAAUGGGUGUAUCAAGCACCCAUUUCUAAUCUUCAAAAGCAAAUUUAUUGAAGUGUCUCAAUUUUGCCACACACCCUAACAUCUGCAUAUGGGACCAGAUUCCUAAUCCUGUCACACUGUGAUGCUGCAGAUUAAGAGAAUGUAUAAUCAAUGCCUCUGUCGCUAUACAUAAAUAUAGACUGCUAAAUCAAGUGUGGGCUUUACAACAGAGACUCCUUAUCCUCAGCAGAUUUUGCACUAAACAUUGCUGAAAUCCUGGAAAAUUAAAAACAACAACAACAACAACAAAAAACAGUGAUAGUCUCUGGUAUUUUCUUCCUUUAUCUAAUUAAAGAAAUUUAUCUGUAAGUGGAAGCUACCAUAUAAAUGUUUCAUCAGUAAACACGAAGCAAAGAAAAGGAAGUUCAGACUUAAAGAACACCCCACCAUGUGUCAGACAUUGUGUUAGAUGCUUAACAUACAUUAUUCCAUUUAAUAAUAAAUCAACACAAAUAAGUAUUCAUUGAGCUUUCUCAACAUGUCAGUGUUCUAUGCUGGUUAUAAUUCUUCAAAUAUUUCUAUGUAUUUGUACCCCUUACCCCUUUACCACCAUUUUUAAGUGUUUCUAACACUAUAUUAAUUAUACAAAUGUUUGCAAAGAAAUCUCUGAGAACUUUGUAGAUUCCCAAAUCCACAAAACUCCUACAAGGAAACAAGUAGAGAAUUAAGGUCAUGGUAUCCAGUUAAAUGACUCAUGCCUGCCUCCCAGUUCAGGCAAUUGAGAUUUGUGCCUCAUCAAAAUUAUAAAUUACUCCGUGUUAUGGACUUUCAGGGUCAUUUAAGUACAUUCAAAAUGAUGAAUGUUAAAUCCACAACUGCCAGGGGCUUAUUGUACCGUGCAUGUCAUCUUGACACUCAAUUGUUACUUUUAGUGACAAUCAAAAUAAUUUUCAUUUAAAUUACCUGCCACAACCCUUUCCAGUACUUCAGAUUUCUGACUAAUCUGUACUUUAUUUAGCCUUUUGAGUUCCAUUUGUUCAAAGUCAAUGUAAAGCCUAGAUGUUAUCACAGCUCCUCCAGGAAAUUGGAGAAAUAUCAUUAGAGAUGACAAUAUUCACAAAGCACUGGGGAAAGGUUGGGGUAUGUCCCCUUGAAAUUUUCCAAAGAAAGAAAAAACAUACAGUGGUAGAAAAUAUUAUUGAACUUUUAAAGUGUAUAAAGUCUUCGAUUUAAAUUGUGAAAUAUAAGUCACAGUUCUAUUGAUUUUGUUACUGGAUGAAAAAUCACAAAUUUUCCAUCAAAGUGGAGAAUAAAAACAAAGAAAGCUAUGAUCACAUUGGAGUGCCUCUAUCACUGAUAUCAUAUCUACCUGACUACGUCAUGUUUGCUUUCCUGAAAGGACUUGUGUGUCCAUAUUAUCACGUGUUGACUUUAGAAUUGCUUGCAACACAGAUUUUAAAAAUGUGAAUCCAAUUCUCUCAGUCUACGACUGACUUCUAUUUUUGGUAAAAGCAAUCAUGUAAAGAUAGGUCCAAAUAAAAGCCUUUCUUUCUGUAUCCUUGGAGAACAAUUUCUCAGAGACUACCGCUUUGACAGCCCUGUCUAUAGUUCCUCCUCCAUCUGCAUCCUUCCUUCUCUUCUACCAUUACCAUUUCCUUUAUGUGGUUCUGAAUUCGUAGGAGGGGUCCAAAAGGAGUUCCAAGUAUUUCAGGGCUGGGAAAACCAACCAAGUUUCAUGCUUUAGAACCAAUGACAAUGACUCGUGGGCCUUCACCAAAGCCCAAUAUUUCGCUUGCUGCAUCUAUGCUCAGUAACUUUUAUCCCAAGACUCAACAACAUGCCCAGAGUAGGUGGCAAAAAAGACUACGCACUUUCUGGUUAUAAGGCCCAAGAUGGGAAGGAUGUCAUUUACUUGCCUGAGUUGCUUCAUCUGCUACCAUAACUGAGAUGGGACUGCUCUGCUCUCCAUGUUUACUUGGAGAGUAGGUUGAGAUGAUCUGCAAUACUGGGAUUAGCAGGUGAAAUAGUUUGGUUAAAACAGCAGAAAUGCCUCUGGGACAGAAACACCAGCACUAGCCCUGAUCACAGAUCAGAUCCUAGCAAGAUUCUCUUGGGUGGAAGCUAUACCAAUAUAGCAAUUUACUUGGUGUCUGUAAGAGUUAAUAUAAGCUACCUCCAGUGGUGCUCAAAGUGCUCAGCAGAGUGGCCUGGGCUUUGGGGAAUUGGAGAGUUCCCCUCUUCAUGUGUUCUUAUGUAUAUAUCAUUUGCUAUAAAAGUCAGAGAUCAAGCAGGUCACUUUUACAUGAAUUAGUUCAUGUGCCUAAUUCCUAAAUUCCACACAUCCUUCUUUUUUUUUUUGCCCCAAGAGAAGCUCAGAGAAAUAAAGAAGCUAACCCUGAGUGCCAGGGAGUUGAAAGAUUGUAAGUCUCAUGUAUCCUGGUUUCCUGGGCCAGAAAAAUAAGCACCGUUUUGCAAACAAAAUAUCUUUAGCCUUCAGAAAAAUGUUCCUAGCAGGCAAACAUGUGACUGUCCUCCUCUAUAUAAAUCAGUAUCUACAUCGUGUCCCAAUCAUGGGCAUUUUGAUCUGUUGGUGCCCUAACUUACAUUCAAAGAAUGCAUUUCACAAAAAUAUUCCAUCAAAUCUAUAAGCAAACUAUAGGCAAGGAGGACUAAUUAAUGACUACCUGAAUAUAUCUUUGAUUGUUUUUUUUAAUUUCUUUGAACAUCAGGGUUAUGAGCACGGAUUCAUUUGCAUUACUGACUUAACUAAUUUAUCUGAUUUUAAGGUUUACCAUUACAGAAAAUUAGUUCAGAAUUGUUCCUGGUUUCAAGUUCCAUUUUUCUCUGGAAAUAACAGAUCACAGAAGAGUUUACACAAGUUAAAUAAAUGUAACCAAAUAUAGUCGUACUUCCUGAAACUGUGAAUGAUCUAGUAAUACUGAGGAAGCAAUUACAAUCUUAAUUGGUAUCAAAUUAUAGGAAAUUAGUUUCAUGGUAAAUAUUCAUUCUCUCUGUUGUCCAAUCUAUUAUUUACGUUAGAGAUGUGACAUUUAGCCUGCUAGAAGGAAUCCAAUUUCAUUUGUUUUUAUAAAGCAUUUUAAUUGAGGAUUAAAGAACAAUCCUUAGUGAGGAUCGCAGAAGGAGAGUUUUUCUGUUUUGUUCAGAUAACACCAAAACAAAUGCCAAGCAUCAUCUAUCUUGAAUGUUAAAGCCCUCUGAAUAAAAAUUAGUCUUAGUUGUUCAAGCACCAUUUGAGUUAGUUUUAAAAGACAACCACAAGAAGAAGCAGGUUUAGUGAAGAAUUUGGUAAAGUCAGUAAAGGGAGUGUUUGGUUAUCUUUUGCUGCAUAAUUAAGCUCCAUAAUUUAGUCACUGAAAUAAUUAUUAAUUAUUGUUAUCUCUCAUGGUUCUUUGGGUUGACUGGGCUCAGAUGUGUGGUUUUAACUUGGAAUUUCUUGUGAGUUUUCAGCUGAGGCUGGAGUUAUCUGAACUGACUGAGUUGGAAAUCUAAAGUGGAUUCUUUAUUCUCAUGGCUGAUGCCCCAGUUGAGAUGGCUGGAGCAGCUGGAUGCUGGCUGGGCAUCUCUCUCUCUCUCCACAUGGCUAGCCUAGGUUUUCUCACAGCAUGGAGGUUUCAAGACAGUUUGAUUUUUACAAGGGUGUUGAUACCUUCUAGAGCAAGCAUUCCACAAGAGCCAGGCAGAAGUUGUAAGACACCUGUGAUCCAGCCCUGGAGUCUAGGCAGCAUCAGUCUGCUGUAUUCUACCAGUCACAGCAGUCACAGGCUAGCACAGAUUCAAUAGGAUGAAGCAACAGUCUCCACCUCCAGAUGGUGGAAAAGUGUGUAUAGAAGGAAGGGAGAAAUUGAUGGUGAUCAUCUUGAGGACAAACUACCACAAGGAGAAUAAACAAUAUUUAUACUUAUAAUGUGUCUAUCAGAUUACUUUGGAGGCUGUUCCCACUUAGAUUCGUCAUAUAGAAGAUGUGGAUAUAGAAACAUGCAGAUAAAUCAGUCAAUGCCAAGUGUUGGGGAAACUUCCAUAGCCUGCAGGUUCCCACAGAGAGGAUAGCACUUCCACUCCUCUCCCAUGAGGGAAAAAUAAAGGAGAAAAGCUUUCAGCCUCUCACCAUAAGCUCAUUCAGUCUUCCCCUUGGGAGAGAAAUGACUUACCUGAGGAAUGUGCUUGGAAGUAGUUGUGCUGGUGAAACUCAGCCUCUGUGGGUUUCUCUCUCUUUCAGAGUCAGCUCUUGUCAGGAUGCACAUUUAUUUUUCCCUUUGGAGGAGGCCUCAGUCCAGCUCAGCUAAGGGCACAUCUGCCUAAUUCAGGACUGGGAAAGGCUUUUACAUCAAAUAUUGAUAAUGAUAAUAAUAAUAAACACAUUUUGAGCACUUACCAUGUCUCAAGCACUGCUCUAGAGCUUUCCAUGAAAGAACCCCUCUAAUCUUCAGAACAAUCCUGUGAGAACUGGCUGAAGUUUACUUUUUGGUACUCCAGAGACCUAGCUUCUUCUUGCCUUCUUCCAGUGUGGUCUAUUUAAUCUCCUGUCGUGUGGGAAAUUAUGUUCAAAAUCUCCGUGAUCCUCUGUCCAUAGUAAGUUAUGCAUGUAGUGACAAGUACAUGCCACAAGGUCUUGAGAUUAUAUCUGCAAUGUGUUGCUGCUGGCUGUUGAUCAAGAUAGGCUGGAAGAAAAACAUUAUUUUCAGGUGUGAAAAACCGUCACCUUUAUCAAAUAAUUCUUCUUGCAUUUUUCCCAAGACGUUGUAGCCUAUUUAAACUUGGGAGGUUAAGUUUUGUAGCAUUCAUUAUGACUGAAAAUUUAGUUCACACAAUCAUGAUGCUCUCUUUAUUAGGUGUUACCGUUAAACAAUAUUAAAAUA